rnacentral:tRNA from 1 species
GGCCCCGUAGCUCAGCUUGGAUAGAGCAGCGGACUUCUAAUCCGGUGGUCGAGGGUUCAAAUCCCUCCGGGGUCA